rnacentral:tRNA from 1 species
GAGGAAGUAAGCAAUGGUGGCGUAUCCUUUUACAGAAUGGACAUGCAGGCUCGAUUCCUGUCAUCCUCA